rnacentral:rRNA from 1 species
AACGUAGGUUCCCGAGCGUUAUCCGGAUUUACUGGGCGUAAAGCGUGUUCAGGCGGCUCAGCAAGUCGGGCAUGAAAUCUCUCGGCUCAACCGGGAGAGGCUGUCCGAAACUGCUGGGCUUGAGGGCAGUAGAGGGUGGUGGAAUUCCGGGUGUAGUGGUGAAAUGCGUAGAUAUCCGGAGGAACACCAGUGGCGAAAGCGGCCACCUGGACUGUACCUGACGCUCAAACACGAAAGCUAGGGGAGCGAACGGGAUUAGAUACCCUGUAGU